rnacentral:rRNA from 1 species
UACGUAGGGUCCGAGCGUUGUCCGGAAUUAUUGGGCGUAAAGAGCUCGUAGGCGGUUUGUCGCGUCUGCUGUGAAAACUCGGGGCUUAACUCCGGGCCUGCAGUGGGUACGGGCAGACUAGAGGUAUGCAGGGGAGAACGGAAUUCCUGGUGUAGCGGUGAAAUGCGCAGAUAUCAGGAGGAACACCAGUGGCGAAGGCGGGUCUCUGGGCCGAUACUGACGCUGAGGAGCGAAAGCGUGGGGAGCGAACAGG